rnacentral:rRNA from 1 species
GAUGAACGCUGGCGGCGUGCCUAAUACAUGCAAGUCGAGCGAACGGACGAGAAGCUUGCUUCUCUGAUGUUAGCGGCGGACGGGUGAGUAACACGUGGAUAACCUACCUAUAAGACUGGGAUAACUUCGGGAAACCGGAGCUAAUACCGGAUAAUAUUUUGAACCGCAUGGUUCAAAAGUGAAAGACGGUCUUGCUGUCACUUAUAGAUGGAUCCGCGCUGCAUUAGCUAGUUGGUAAGGUAACGGCUUACCAAGGCAACGAUGCAUAGCCGACCUGAGAGGGUGAUCGGCCACACUGGAACUGAGACACGGUCCAGACUCCUACGGGAGGCAGCAGUAGGGAAUCUUCCGCAAUGGGCGAAAGCCUGACGGAGCAACGCCGCGUGAGUGAUGAACGUCUUCGGAUCGUAAAACUCUGUUAUUAGGGAAGAACAUAUGUGUAAGUAACUGUGCACAUCUUGACGGUACCUAAUCAGAAAGCCACGGCUAACUACGUG